rnacentral:rRNA from 1 species
GACCAGACUCCUACGGGAGGCAGCAGUGGGGGAUAUUGCACAAUGGGGGGAACCCUGAUGCAGCGACGCCGCGUGAGUGAAGACGGCCUUUGGGUUGUAAAGCUCUGUCAAUCGGGACGAAGAAGAUGACGGUACCGAUGAAGGAAGCUCCGGCUAACUACGUGCCAGCAGCCGCGGUAAUACGUAGGGAGCAAGCGUUGUCCGGAAUUACUGGGCGUAAAGGGCGCGUAGGUGGGCGCUUAAGUCAGGUGUGAAAACUCCGGGCUCAACCUGGAGACUGCACUUGAAACUGGGUGUCUUGAGGGCAGGAGAGGAAAGUGGAAUUCCUAGUGUAGCGGUGAAAUGCGUAGAUAUUAGGAGGAACACCAGUGGCGAAGGCGACUUUCUGGACUGUACCUGACGCUGAGGCGCGAAAGCGUGGGUAGCGAACGGGAUUAGAUACCCUAGUAU